UACGUAGGUGGCAAGCGUUGUCCGGAAUUAUUGGGCGUAAAGAGCUUGUAGGUGGCUCGUUGCGUCGGGAGUGAAAACCUGCGGCUUAACCGCAGGCCUGCUUCCGAUACGGGCGAGCUAGAGUUCGGCAGGGGAGACUGGAAUUCCUGGUGUAGCGGUGGAAUGCGCAGAUAUCAGGAGGAACACCGGUGGCGAAGGCGGAUCUCUGGGCCAUUACUGACGCUGAGGAGCGAAAGCGUGGGGAGCGAACAGG
rnacentral:rRNA from 1 species